AUUGAACGCUGGCGGCAGGCUUAACACAUGCAAGUCGAGCGGGGGAAGGUAGCUUGCUACCGGACCUAGCGGCGGACGGGUGAGUAAUGCUUAGGAAUCUGCCUAUUAGUGGGGGACAACAUCUCGAAAGGGAUGCUAAUACCGCAUACGUCCUACGGGAGAAAGCAGGGGAUCUUCGGACCUUGCGCUAAUAGAUGAGCCUAAGUCGGAUUAGCUAGUUGGUGGGGUAAAGGCCUACCAAGGCGACGAUCUGUAGCGGGUCUGAGAGGAUGAUCCGCCACACUGGGACUGAGACACGGCCCAGACUCCUACGGGAGGCAGCAGUGGGGAAUAUUGGACAAUGGGGGGAACCCUGGUCCAGCCAUGCCGCGUGUGUGAAGAAGGCCUCAUGGUUGUAAAGCACUUUAAGCGAGGAGGAGGCUACUCUAGUUAAUACCUAGGGAUAGUGGACGUUACUCGCAGAAUAAGCACCGGCUAACUCUGUGCCAGCCGCCGCGGUAA
rnacentral:rRNA from 1 species